AAUAGAUGCUACUUUUGCAUUGGAGUGAAUGUGAAAAUUUCGAAAAUAAUUAAUUAUUCGUAGUUAAUAUAAGAUUAUUGGUUUUGGUGGUUAAUAUUAUUUAAAUAUGAGUGCCAAGAAAGCUUACACUAAAAGAACUUGCUUCGUACCGGGAUUUAUAUCGAGUUAUCGUUCCGAUAAAAAAUUCAAAAGGGAACUUAACGAAGUUAAUAAAGACUUUUUAUAAAGAUUUGUCUUUAUGUUAUUUAUAACGUUCGUGGAUUAAACCUAUUCGUUUGUAUGUUAUUUCCUUCGGUGUAAAUAAAAUUUGUGCCUAUUAUUGGUUUUUAUUUUAACCUGAAAAUUAUAGUGAUAAUAGUAGGACGAUCUUGAAAGUUUUUCUGUCGAAACAAUGCAUUUUUUGAGACAAAAUAUUUCACAAAAAUUAACAUUAAUUUUAUAAAAGUCAGACUAUCGUCUGCGUAGUUUAUAGACAUAUAUUUUUAUUAACUAAAUUUAAACAUCUGAUAGGUAAGCUUUCAGAAUAUAGAUAAAUGAAGUAUUAAAAAAAAGCAGUUUAAAUUUUGAUAAAAAGAAUACCUAAUUAAAAAAAAUUGAUCAAUAAACUUCAAAUUAUUUAAAUAACUUUUUAAACUUUUUAAAAACAAUUACGUACAGUUAAGUCAAUUUUUUCAACUAACAAACUUUUUAAUAUCAGUUACAAAGAUAUUAAAAAAUUAAUUUGCCGUUGAAAUACCAUUGGUAUAUAAAUGUGGCAGUUAGAUAAUGUGACAAAAUAUUUCCGCUUCAAAAUAAGCUGUCCUACAUAUUAAAGUAAUGACAAAUUUAAAUUUGAUGUCACAUCUCCAUCUACAAUGGUAUAUAAAGAAUACACUUUUUACCACACGUCGAUAUGUUAUAAGGUUAAAAUAAUUUAUUUUUGGCAUAAAACAUAUUCAGCUACAAUCCACCAAUAAAUUAAUGUCUAAUUACGCUAAAAACAAAAAUAAAAUGAGUUAAAUAUUAAAUAAGUCCAUAAGAGCUAAUGUAUUUGUAGCACCUAUUCGAACACUUGCGCCUCUAGCGGCGAUUGCUGAAAGUUGAAUUAGAGGUUGAAAAGUUAGCCCACAAACGAUGCAUUGCGUUUCCACUCCUUCUUACAGGUCUCCAUAUUUUUAACAUAUAAUAACCUGUCAUCUGUCAUUUCUUCUUCUUUUUUGGGCUGUCAUAUGUCAUUUCUUCUUCUUUUUUGGCUGUCAAGUGUCAUUUUGUGAGCAAAUAAUUUAGUAGCAUUUUUGGUAGAUUUUAUCCUCCAUCUAGUAGAAUUUAGUAGAUUUUAUACCUAAAUCUAGUAGAAAACGACGUUCGGUCGUUGGCAACACAAGAAUCUACAGGUCGAGCAAGUCUCGUAAAUUUCACGAUUGCGAGCCACGCUUCACGCAACCGUGUUUGCGUACUUGUAUUUCGAGUUGCGUGGUCGUGCGGAGUUAUAUUUACCAAAUUUAAAUCCGUUCCAACAUGCUGUCAAAAUUAAAUCAAUAUGGCUACUGGGUGUAAAAGAUAAAUCUUAUUCUAUCUGUUCUUAAUGAGUUUUAGAUAAUUUUAGUUGUAUUUCUUUGUAAUUUUGUGUUGUACAAAGAUUAAUUUAACAUUUUCUCUGGAAGUAUUAAUUUAGAAAGAUAAUUAUGCUUCAUUGGUGUUGUGUUUUGAAGUGUGAAAUGCAAAGUAAUUGUGAUAAAGUUCACUUUUAAAUCUGAGAGACAACAAUGGUUAAAUGCAAUACAAUGUACAGGUUUUACUAGCGAAAUGAAAAGUUUCCUGUCCUGUCUGCUGUAAUCAUUUUAUAUCUGGAAAACCAGCCGACUUAAUCGAUAAUAACAAUCUCCAGAUUGGGUUCCUUCAAUAAAUAUGGGCUAUAAACACAAUGAAAUAAGUUCCCCAAAAUCUAAAAUGGAGUGGUAUCAAAGGAGAAUUAAAGGAAAAAAUAUUCAUAUUGAAAUUAUUUAUAAGGCACUGGACUAUCUUAAAUUCUACAAUAAUACUAGAAUCAGCUGAGAGAAGUGGUCUACAAAAAACCAGGAAGGAAACGGAAUAUGUGGCUACGAAAGGCAAAAGAAAGGUUUACAAAGCAAAUGUGACACAUUUUUUU